rnacentral:rRNA from 1 species
AAUGAACGCUGGCGGCGUGCUUUACACAUGCAAGUCGAGCGAGGCGGCCCGCAAGGGCCAGUCGAGCGGCGAACGGGUGAGUAACGCGUGGAUUAUCUGCCCUGAGGUGGGGGAUAACCCGGGGAAACUCGGGCUAAUACCGCAUAGGACCGUGAGGUCAAAGGGGGGUCGCAAGAUCUCUCGCCAUUGGAGGAGUCCGCGUUCGAUUAGCUAGUUGGUAGGUAAUGGCCUACCAAGGCGACGAUCGAUAGCCGGCCUGAGAGGGUGAUCGGCCACACUGGAACUGAGACACGGUCCAGACUCCUACGGGAGGCAGCAGUGGGGAAUUUUGCGCAAUGGGCUAACGCCUGACGCAGCAACGCCGCGUGGAGGAUGAAGGUCUUUGGAUUGUAAACU